UACAGAGGGUGCGAGCGUUAAUCGGAAUUACUGGGCGUAAAGCGCACGUAGGCGGCUUGGUAUGUCGGGUGUGAAAUCCCCGGGCUCAACCUGGGAACUGCAUCCGAAACUGCCUUGCUAGAGUAUGGGAGAGGGAAGUGGAAUUUCCGGUGUAGCGGUGAAAUGCGUAGAUAUCGGAAGGAACAUCAGUGGCGAAGGCGACUUCCUGGACCAAUACUGACGCUCGGGUGCGAAAGCGUGGGGAGCAAACAGG
rnacentral:rRNA from 1 species